rnacentral:sRNA from 1 species
UGAAGGCAUAAGUCAACGGUUAUGGU